rnacentral:rRNA from 1 species
AUUGAACGCUAGCGGGAUGCCUUACACAUGCAAGUAGAACGGAGUGGCGAACGGGUGAGUAAUGUAUCGGAACGUGCCCAGUAGCGGGGGAUAACUACGCGAAAGCGUAGCUAAUACCGCAUACUAUUGGAGCGGCCGAUAUCGGAUUAGCUAGUUGGGGGGGGAACGGCUAACCAAGGCGUCGGUCCGUAGCUGGUUUGCGAGGACGACCAGCCACACGGGGACUGAGACACGGCCCAGACUCCUACGUGAGGCAGCAGUGGGGAAUUUUGGACAAGGGGGGAAACCCUGAUCCAGCCAUCCCGCGUGUGCGAUGAAGGCCUUCGGGUUGUAAAGCACUUUUGGCAGGAAAGCGGUACCUGCAGAAUAAGCACCGGCUAACUACGUGCCAGCAGCCGCGGUAAUUC